rnacentral:rRNA from 1 species
GAUGAACGCUGACAGAAUGCUUAACACAUGCAAGUCUUUGGCGAAUCUGUGCUUGCACAGGCUAGCCAAGGCGGACGGGUGAGUAACGCGUAAAGAACUUGCCCUGCAGACAGGGAUAACAGACGGAAACGACUGAUAACACCUGAUACAGUUGCCGGCACGCAUGUGCCUGGCAAUGAAAAGAGAUGCUGCAGGAGAGCUUUGCGUCCUAUUAGCUUGUUGGUGAGGUGACGGCUCACCAAGGCGAUGAUAGGUAGCCGGCCUGAGAGGGUGAACGGCCACAAGGAGACUGAGAUACGGCACUUACUCCUACGAGAGGCAGCAGUGGGGAAUAUUGGACAAUGGGGGCAACCCUGAUCCAGCAAUUCUGUGUGCACGAAGAAGGUUUUCGGAGUGUAAAGUGCUUUCAGCAGGGAAGAAGAAAGUGACGGUACCUGCAGAAGAAGCGACGGCUAAAUACGUG